CAAAGAAGCAAGGUGCAUACAUAUUUCUGCUCGUUCUGGGUGACCUCAUGCUAUCUUGAGAUUAACGUUUUUUAUUGUCCGCUAAUCACAAGGAAUCACUUAUUGCAGGGGGUGUUUUGCUAGGGGAAGUAAAAUCUAAAUCCUAACCUUAUAGUAUAGUUAAAGGGAUGUUCAGACACCAUAACUAUUUCAUCACAAUUAAGAAAUCUUGUGAGAAGAGCUUG